CAAAGCAAGUAAAAAAUUGCACAUAAUGACAACAGAUUUAUCUUUAGAACUGUUUGCAAAACUUUUGGUUUAAAUACAAAAGACCAAGUGAAAAUGAUACUGAAAAGACUGUUCACCGUUUGACUCCUGUGCCAAUCUAACCUAGUGGGUUCAAAAAGAAAGGACCGCGCUGGAAAUGUAUUUCACUCAGCUAAUCAAGUUUCAUUUGCUUUUUUGUAUUACAUUCAAGCAAUAGACUGUUUUUUAUGUUCACUCGUUUUUUAAAAGUCGUAACUAGCUAGAAGUCGUAACCAGCUUGUAUGAACGGAUUUCUUGACGUGAAAUAGUUAAUAUUUCACGUCAAGAAAUAUUAUUCAACAACUCCAAGAAACAGAGUUUAUUCAACAACUCCAAGAAACAGAGCUCGCUCAAGAAACAGGAAAGAAAGAGAAAGAUGAAAAAAUAUUCUGUUGAACAAUACUGUUGUUUUA